rfam:Bombyx mori DNA, contig: Bm_scaf43_contig24106, strain: p50T/Dazao, build 2, whole genome shotgun sequence.
CUUAUUAAAUAUUUGUAUGGAAUGGGUUCGUUUGUCUACGUUUGCCGCUAGGGGCGCUGUUCCAACUGCAUACAAAAUUGGGUUA